GUGUUGUGGUGCUUGUAUAAAAUAAACUGGUGCUAAAUCUGUUGAUAUAUUGAAUGAUUGUGCAUGCUGUGGUGGUUAUAUAAAAUAAAUAGGAACUGAAUGUGAUGAUACGGGAAAUAAGUGUGCAUGUUGUGAUGGUUGAGAAAAAAAACUAGGUUAAAAGAAAUAAUAAAUAAACCACACUAAUCAAGAGGUUGCGCGGCAAUGGUGUCCUCUGAUGUAGGUGGAGCAGAUGUCAAUCCCGCCGCAUCUACAUCUCCCGAUCUAGGAUUGAUGGGCCCUCGUCUUGGCCUCCUACGACAAGUUGGCUACUCCUCUCUAAAUCUAACAGUAAAUACAACUUGUCGUUAUGCUUGAACCAAUCCAUGUAACUCGAAGACAUAGCCAACUUCGAUGUAAGAAAUGGUUCAUGUGUUGGCAAGAAUUCUUACCUACACUCUCACAUCUCGAUAUACUUCUUGUGAAAUGUUGGUAAAUCUUCCUUGAGUCUUCCUCACAAGUCAAUCUUGUUGAGGUUAUCAAGCUCCUGGGUAGCAGUGGAAUAAGCUGUGUACACCCAAACUGUUGCAUGACUCAGUCAGAUUUGUACAUCUCGAUCGUAGCAAAAACGACCAAUGGCACUUUAAUGUUCCAAAUGUUGCAACUGGCCAAAAAUUCGACCGAGACGCAUUCUUGAAUCCUCGGAUCCGCAUAUGGCAUCCAUAUAAAUUGCAUUACGAAUUUAUAAUUUUU
rnacentral:lncRNA from 1 species